rnacentral:lncRNA from 1 species
GGGAAAGAAAGAAUGUAGAAAGAGGGAGAGAGGCUGGCCAUGGCCACGUGGAGUGAGGAGGGAAGUGUGAGAGAGAAGGAGGGCUAAAGAGUAAGAAAGGUGAGAGCUUAAAGAGAGCAAGGAGGAACCAAGCAGCUCCUUUUAUAGUGGGCUGGGCUAUCAGGUAACUGUGGGGAGGAGCAUAUCUGGCUAUAUUCAAGUAACUGUGCAGUGGAGUCUAGCCAGAAUGCUAGGAUCUUGGGACAUUGUCUAUGUGACUGAUAGUCACACACCUCUCCUGUGGGGGAUGUGGAGGCAGUAACUUCGACAGGAGCCAGGGGUCUAGGAGACAUGAUCAAACGCCUUCCAUUCCAUGUAGGUGGAAAUCACCCCCCAUCAGAUUCCCCAGGGAUCAAGACUAUGCUCAACUGGAGACAAGGCUAUCUGUGCACAGCCCACUGCCCCACAGGUAGGUCUUCUGAUAUACCAAUCUCAUUACCUGCUUAUUGUCUUUCACCUUUCAAAUAUAAUAAUACAUGCCUAAGCUAUUUUUAUUAGUGCUCUCAUAAAAAAAAAAAAACUAUAGAACUGUUAUGAACAACAAUAAAACUAGCAAGUAAUUAGCAUAUUUAAAUAACCAAACAUUACCCUCAUAAAAGGAUCACAGAUUACUAAGGUGGACAUUCACUAAUUUUUUUUUUUAUUUAAUUCAAA